rnacentral:rRNA from 1 species
ACUCAAAUGAAUUGACGGGGCCCCGCACAAGCAGCGGAGCGUGUGGAUUAAUUCGAUGCAACGCGAAGAACCUCACCUGGGCUUGACAUACCGGUGGUACCGAUCGGAAACGAGAGGGACCCGCGAGGGAGCCGGUACCGGUGCUGCAUGGCUGUCGUCAGCUCGUGCCGUGAGGUGUUGGGUUAAGUCCCGCAACGAGCGCAACCCCCGCCCCUAGUUGCCGUUUCUAGGGGGACUGCCGGGCGAACCCCGGAGGAAGGUGGGGACGACGUCAAGUCCGCAUGGCCCCUACGUCCAGGGCCUCACACACGCUACAAUCGCCGGGACAGCGGGACGCCACUCUGCGAAGAGGAGCCAACCCCCCAAAGCCGGCGCCAGUCCGGAUCGCAGGCUGCAACCCGCCUGCGUGAAGCCGGAGUUGCUAGUAACCGCGCGUCAGCACAGUGCGGUGAAUGCGUUCCCGGGGCUUGUACACACCGCCCGU